GAGAUCAUUUCAUUUCUUCUUCUCCAGUCGUUACUUAUUAAUUCCUACUUGUGCAACAUCGUGAAACGAAAAGCACCAGAAGGAAAACUUUACGUAUUUUCAAAAAGAGAAGGAUGUGUGUUUGUACAAAGUGAAAGUCCUUGUACAUUAAACUGGAAAUUGAAUCCAUACAUCGCCAAACUUUACACACAGAAGAACAAGGUCGUUUCACAUGCACUCAAUCUCUAUACUCAACUUGGCAUUUCAUCUUUGUGCAGAGAUGCUGUUAAAGAAGCCUUAUGUUCACAAUGGACCCCAAGAUGUUCCGAAAUCAAUUACAGUCGAGAUUAUGGUGAUGUUACAAGGCUGUGUAACAACGUUUACUCUCGUUGUCCAUCAAAUCUUGUAAAUGAGUUUAAGAACCAAAAAUUCUGCAAGACUCUUAAAAAGGGCAGACAUUCAAACGAUCAGUGUGUUGCGAAUACUGCACCCAUCAGUGGUGCUUGUCCGCAGCCAAAGUAUAAGAUGACAUCGUGGCUCCUUGAAGAAUAUCGAAAACUUCUGUAAGAAUCCAGCCAACUUUGAGACGUCUUCGUAAUCUACGAUACGGUGAUGGUGGAAGGAUUUUUUCAGAUUCAUGUGUGUCACAAAUGACUGAAAUCGAUUGUGCAGCAAUUUAUUGCUCAGCAAAUGAAACUGAGCUCUUGGUAAAAAUGGAUAGUAAUGAUUGUCAUCAGGUUGUCAGUGACUGUAUCGACGAACCAUUCAGAAGAUUGUCAAAAUCGACUAGUGCUUGGAAUGUUUUGAAUACUUUGAGAAAUCAACUUAAAACAAAUUGUGACACUUUUGCUGCGCCCUCAUCCGACUUGAGACCUGAGCCUCCACGGAUUUACAAGAAAUCACCUACAAAAAAAAGUGCUGGAAACAGAGAGCACAAAGCCAUUGGAAUCCUCCCCUUCGUCUUUUUUGCACUUAUGAAAAUGCUUUUAAUUGCUUGAACUCGAGAUGAACCAAACUUUUUUUAUAUUCGUAUAUAAUCCAAAAAACUUCACAUAUAGUUGAUGCAGUAUAGUAAUACUUGGUGUUAGGCUGAAGUAUACUUGCAUGAUUUUUUAAUUUUUACAGUUAUUAGCUAUUUUGCAAGGUUCUUCUUCAUGAUGAUUGUAUUUGUUGUUUUCACGUCUUAAAUGAACUUAUAAUAACAAACAUAAGAGUAAGAAUAUUGAUGUCUUCUUCUGCCAAGUGAAAAUAUGUGUCUGUAAAAGGUACAAAUCCUUGUACAUUGAACUGGACAUUGAAUGAAAACGUAGCAAAAGUUUAUGAACAACAAGAUGCGAACCACAUCAAUCUUUAUGCUUAGUUAUAAACAUUUUUUCAUACAGUUUAAAAGGUAAAGUACUUCAGUAUUUAUGAAGAAGUAUAUAAAACUGCUAAAAACAGCUUGAGAGAUAUAGCAAUAACUUUAGUCAAGGACACGUAUAAGUGUUUGCAUGCACUUCAUUUACCGAAAUAAAUCUCAACUAUUUUUGGGUAAAAUGAACAUGAUAAACAUCAUGGUAUAUGUGCCAAUUCUUCGAUUCGGGACAAGAGUAACUUCAGAAAAAAUAGAAAUAAUCUUUCUGAAGUGUUUAACAUGUCUAAAAGGUUUACUUUUAGGGAUGGUCAUAGAAGAGAAAAUUUGCAUAAAAUCAAUAAUUACCAAGAAAAUUACCAUAUAUGCACAAUCUCUAAUCAAAU